AUGCCACAUUUUUUUGUUGCUUAUUUUAGGGGGGGAAAGGGUAAGGCAUCGUCUACUAGAAACACUUGGUUGGUUCGCUGGGCAAUCUCAAAGCUAACAUCUUUCUGUGGAUUUAAGAUUGUCGGUGUUCGUAUGGAUGUUAUGGCCUCUUUUGUCGUUUCCCUAUUUCUUUCGAUAAGCCUUCCUGCUGGUGAAUCGAUGAGUGUGUAUCACUUUGAGACUGAGAAAGCGAGAUCAAUUUCUCUUUGGGUUUUAAAUUCAGGUUGGCAAGCAAGCUUUCUUGAACCAAUGAUGAAAGAGUAUGUCGAUGCGGCAAAGUUUUGUGGUCAAAAUGGAUGGAGAAAGGAGUUGGGGCAUGACAAGCAAAACCUAUCUCAGGUACCUCUCACACUUCUUCAGUAUGCAUGCUUGUCUUGA
rnacentral:rRNA from 1 species